rnacentral:rRNA from 1 species
GUCCACACCGUAAACGUUGGGCGCUAGGUGUGGGGCCUAUUCCAUGGGUUCCGUGCCGCAGCUAACGCAUUAAGCGCCCCGCCUGGGGAGUACGGCCGCAAGGCUAAAACUCAAAGGAAUUGACGGGGGCCCGCACAAGCGGCGGAGCAUGCGGAUUAAUUCGAUGCAACGCGAAGAACCUUACCUGGGUUUGACAUAUGCCGGAAAGCCCCAGAGAUGGGGCCCCUUUUGUCGGUAUACAGGUGGUGCAUGGCUGUCGU